rnacentral:ncRNA from 1 species
GGUAGUAGCAAAUAUUCAAGUGAGAACCUUGAAGGCCGAGGUGGAGAAUGGUUUCAUGGGAACAGCGGUUGACCAUGGGUCAGGUGGUCCCAAGUGAUCCGGCAAAUCGGAACAGAGACGGGGUGCCUGACAUUGUCCGUUCGCAGGCUUUGUUCAAUAAUCUGCAAAGUACUGUUAUUCACUUCAUAAUGGAUACGGUUCAAGUUGCAUUUUCUCAAAUCCCAAACGAGAAAUUGUUACCAAACGAGUUAACUGACUUAAAAUCAAAACAGUCAACAUAACUCUCAAUAAUAACAAAUCGUAGUUU